GACGAACGCUGGCGGCGUGCUUAACACAUGCAAGUCGAACGGAAAGGCCCUGCUUGCAGGGUGCUCGAGUGGCGAACGGGUGAGUAACACGUGGGUGAUCUGCCCCUUAUUUUGGGAUAAGCCUGGGAAACUGGGUCUAAUACUGGGUAGGACCAUGCUGUAGGUGGUGUGGUGGAAAGAUUAGUUUCGGUAAGGGAUGAGCUCGCGGCCUAUCAGCUUGUUGGUGGGGUAAUGGCCUACCAAGGCGUCGACGGGUAGCCGGCCUGAGAGGGUGGACGGCCACAUUGGGACUGCGAUACGGCCCAGACUCCUACGGGAGGCAGCAGUGGGGAAUAUUGCACAAUGGGCGCAAGCCUGAUGCAGCGACGCCGCGUGGGGGAUGACGGCCUUCGGGUUGUAAACUCCUUUCAGCCAUGACGAAGCCCUUGUGGUGACGGUAGUGGUAGAAGAAGCACCGGCUAACUACGUG
rnacentral:rRNA from 1 species